rnacentral:rRNA from 1 species
CGGCGAGUGAGCGGCAAGAGCUCAGAUUUGAAAUCUCACCUAGUGUGCGAGUUGUAAAUUGCAGGUUGGAGUCUCGGGUUAGACGUGUGUGCAAGUCCCUUGGAACAGGGUGCCACUGAGGGUGAGAGCCCCGUAUCGUGCAUGUCGACACCUGUGAGGCCCUUCUGACGAGUCGAGUUGUUUGGGAAUGCAGCUCUAAGUGGGUGGUAAAUUCCAUCUAAGGCUAAAUAUUGGCGAGAGACCGAUAGCGAACAAGUACUGUGAAGGAAAGAUGAAAAGCACUUUGAAAAGAGAGUGAAACAGCACGUGAAAUUGUUGAAAGGGAAGGGUAUUGGGCUCGACAUGGGAUUUACGCAUCGUUGCCUCUCGUGGGCGGCGCUCUGGGUUUUUCCUGGGCCAGCAUCGGUUUUCGUUGCAGGAUAAGGACAAUUGGAAUGUGGCUCCUCGGAGUGUUAUAGCCUUUUGUAGAUGCUGCGUAUGGGGACCGAGGGCUGCGGCGGACUCGUUUCGUCUCGGAUGCUGGCACAACGGCGCAAUACCGCCCGUCUUGAA